CCAGAAACUAGGAAGAGCAAAAAGUCACUGUAAUCUCUAGGGAUAGAGGCCAAUGGGAAGAAAUGUGUUACUAGAUCCCCAAAGUGGACUAUUUGAAUGACUGCCAAAGCUCGAAUAGGGGGCCUCUUUGCCAGGAGCAUACUGCACCACUCUGCACUGUGUUUUACCUCAGUACAUGGAUAUGAGUUGCAGAAGCUAAUUUUGACUCUACUAACCUGCACAAAGUGGACACUGAAUUAAAAAGAUUGACAAUUAUAUUAAUAACUCAAGCACAGAUAAUCCACCUUGCCUCAUCAAACCAGAAAACAAUUCAAACCUGGCCUCCUUCUAACUGGAAGCCACAUUUUAAGAACUUAUUGUGAAGAACUGGAAAGCCUCCAAUAGAACAGAAGCUAAAAGCAGAAAUUAUAAAAGCUGUUACACCUACUCAGCUCUAUUACAUGUUGGAAAAACUGAACCAGAGAAACAAUUACAUACACUCUUGUCUUCUGGAAAAGCUGAAUUGGGUUUUGGUCUGAAUCAAUAGCACGGGACCUGGCAUGGAGCAGCAUUCAAAAUAUUGGGUAGAAGGAAAAAGGAAGAAAGAAGGGAAGGACAGGGAAGCAAGGAAAUAAAGGAAAUCAGGCUAUAUAUACAGUGAUGCCCAUCUACCCCUGAGAUCUAAAAAUCUAAGAUGAAAACGAGCACACAGUCUUGGCAGCAUUGGGGUAACAGACUAUGAAAGAAGAAAUCAGAUUGGAAAAUUCAGUAUAUCAAUGAAGAAAAUAAUCACUCAAGGAGAGGAAUAAACAGCAAAACAAUCUAUAUAUUUAAUUAUAGAUACAAUUGUUUCAAUGCUGAUUAUUCAUCCUUAUAUAACUGUCUACAGCUAUUUAGGGUUGUCUUCAUCCAUUUUGUGUUGCCAUUGCAGAAUACGUGAAACUGGGUAAUUUGUAAAGAAAAGAGAUUUUUUAACUUAUGGGUUCUGCAGGAUGGGAAGUUCAAGAAACAUGACACCAGCAUCUGCUUGGUUUCUGUUGAGGACUUUCAUGCUUAUAUCACAACAUGGCAGAAGGUUAAAGGGGGAGUAGACAUGUGCAAAUAGGCAAAACCUGAGGGGCAUCUUGGCUUUAUAACAACCCACUCUUGGAGGACUAAUUCAUUCUUGAGAGAACUAAUCUGGUCUUGCCAGAGAAAAAAUUCACUCACUGCCUACUGUGAGAAUAGCACUAAGCCAUCCAUGAGAGUGGAGCCCCAUCACUCAAACACCUCCCAUUAGGCUCUACAGCUUACAGAUUAUACCUCCUAACAUUGCCACAGUGGGAAACAAAUUUCAAGAUGAGAUUUGGUGGGGACAGACCAUAUCUAAACAAAGAGUAAACAAGGGUAAACAACUUUUGAGAACAUACUUGUGAUCCUUUAUUUCAACCCAGAAUGAUGCCAGAAUUUUGGAGAUGGGGCUCAGAGCAAAUCAGUAAGUUACAAUUCUCAAGUUUCACAGGGAAGUGGGAGUGAGAGACACAUCAUGGAGGACCACGCGACUCUCAGUUACACUGGGUGAAUUGUCUUCAUUGAAUUCCCGCACCAUGCAGACUCAUUUAACGGUAGUUCUUCCAAAGCUGCUUUUCUGCUUUGCUUUUGGAAUACUACUUUAUCUAAAUUUUCAUCUACCCUUUCAAUUCCUAUGCUUCUUGUGUUGAUUUCUCUUUUCCGACUUCUCAGAUUUUUAAUCUCAUUUUUAAACAUGAGAAUUCUCUGAGGUCUAUUUCUUGACCCUUUGUCCUCUUUUUAACUAUCCCUUGGGAAACUUGCACAAUCUAAAUGACUAACUAGAACUUAUGAGAUUAUGAGCCAGAUCUCUCCCUGCUUAUGAGCCCAUUUCAAUUAGAUGUCUCAGCAUCAUUGUAAGUUAAAAUGCAUAAAAUCCAAAACAAUAAAUUUUUCUCAAACCAAUGUUAUAUCUGAAAUGGUUAUUUCAAUGACUUUAAUGACUUUCAAUAACUUCAAUGACCUUAGCUUCUUUCUGUUCUUUCCACAAGCUAGUGCUUUAAUUUUUUAAGAAUAAACUUAACAGAUGAAAUGAUAAAGACAUAAUUUUUAUGUUGUGUUAUACUCUUGAUGGAAAUAUUUCCAAAUCUUUUGAAUGAAGAGCUUUGAAGAAAAACCUG
rnacentral:lncRNA from 10 species